rnacentral:rRNA from 1 species
CUCGUGGCCCAACCUCCCACCCUUGUCUCUAUACACCUGUUGCUUUGGCGGGCCCACCGGGGCCACCUGGUCGCCGGGGGACAUCUGUCCCCGGGCCCGCGCCCGCCGAAGCGCUCUGUGAACCCUGAUGAAGAUGGGCUGUCUGAGUACUAUGAAAAUUGUCAAAACUUUCAACAAUGGAUCUCUUGGUUCCGGCAUCGAUGAAGAACGCAGCGAAAUGCGAUAAGUAAUGUGAAUUGCAGAAUUCCGUGAAUCAUCGAAUCUUUGAACGCACAUUGCGCCCCCUGGCAUUCCGGGGGGCAUGCCUGUCCGAGCGUCAUUUCUGCCCUCAAGCACGGCUUGUGUGUUGGGUGCGGUCCCCCCGGGGACCUGCCCGAAAGGCAGCGGCGACGUCCGUCUGGUCCUCGAGCGUAUGGGGCUUUGUCACUCGCUCGGGAAGGACUGGCGGGGGUUGGUCACCACCAAAAUUUUACCACGGUUGACCUCGGAUCAGGUAG